rnacentral:rRNA from 1 species
AACAAUCUAUGGUUAAUUUUGGGUAAUGGGGCGGACAGAUUAUACGAACCCAUCUGACGGGUUCCUUUUUUUUCUUUUUCCCUGCUGAACUCAGCAUAUCAUGAGCGAGAAAGAAACUACAAGGACUCCCCUAGUAACUGCGAGUGAAGCGGGAAGAGCUCAAAUUUAAAAUCUGGCGUCCUCUGGCCGUCUGAGUUGUAGUCUGGAGAAGCGUUUUCCGUGUUGGACCGUGUACAAGUCCCUUGGAACAGGGCGUCAUAGAGGGUGAGAAUCCCGUCUUUGACACGGACUACCAAUGCUUUGUGAUGCGCUCUCAAAGAGUCGAGUUGUUUGGGAAUGCAGCUCAAAAUGGGUGGUAAAUUCCAUCUAAAGCUAAAUAUAGGCGAGAGACCGAUAGCGAACAAGUACCGUGAGGGAAAGAUGAAAAGCACUUUGGAAAGAGAGUUAAACAGUACGUGAAAUUGCUGAAAGGGAAACGCUUGAAGUCAGUCACGUCUGCCAGGACUCAGCCUUGCUUCUGCUUGGUGUACUUUCUGGUUUGAUGGGCCAACAUCAAUUUCGACCGUCGGAGAAAGGCUUUGGGAAUGUGGCACCUUCGGGUGUGUUAUAGCCCUUUGUUGUAUACGGCGGUUGGGAUUGAGGACUGCAGCACGCCUUCAUGGCCGGGGUUCGCCCACGUACGUGCUUAGGAUGUUGGCAUAAUGGCUUUAAGCGACCCGUCUUGAAACACGGACCAAGGAGUCUAACAUGCCUGCGAGUGUUUGGGUGGAAAACCCAUGCGCGUAAUGAAAGUGAUAGCUGAGAUCCUCUCAUCAGGAGCAUCAGCGCCUGGACUUGAUCUACGGAGACGGUUCUACGGUAGAGCAUGUAUGUUGGGACCCGAAAGAUGGUGAACUAUGCCUGAAUAGGGUGAAGCCAGAGGAAACUCUGGUGGAGGCUCGUAGCGAUUCUGACGUGCAAAUCGAUCGUCAAAUUUGGGUAUAGGGGCGAAAGACUAAUCGAAACCAUCCUUAUUGG